rnacentral:rRNA from 1 species
CCUACGGGAGGCAGCAGUGGGGAAUAUUGCACAAUGGGGGAAACCCUGAUGCAGCGACGCCGCGUGCGUGAAGAAGUAUCUCGGUACGUAAAGCUCUAUCAGCAGGGAAGAACAUGACGGUUCCUGACUAAGUAGCCACGGCUAACUACUUGCCAGCAGCCGCUGUCAUACGUAGGGGGCACGGGGUAUCCGGUUAUACUGGGUGGAAAGGCAGCGUAGACGGCAGCGCAAGUCUUGGUGGAAAUCCCGGGGGUUAACCCCGGGACUGCUUUGGAAACUGGGCGACGGGAGUGCAGGAGAGGUAAGCGGAAUUCCUAGUGAAGCGGUGAAAUGCGUAGAUAUUAGGAGGAACACCAGUGGCGAAGGCGGCUUACUGGACUGAAACUGACGUUGAGGCACGAAAGCGUGGGGAGCAAACAGGAUUAGAUACCCGUGUAGUC